UGGGGAAUAUUGCACAAUGGGGGAAACCCUGAUGCAGCAACGCCGCGUGAAGGAUGACGGUUUUCGGAUUGUAAACUUCUUUUCUUAGUGACGAAGACAGUGACGGUAGCUAAGGAAUAAGCAUCGGCUAACUACGUGCC
rnacentral:rRNA from 1 species